rnacentral:rRNA from 1 species
CCUACGGGUGGCAGCAGUCGAGAAUUUUUCUCAAUGGGGGAAACCCUGAAGGAGCGACGCCGCGUGGAGGAUGAAGGUCUUCGGAUUGUAAACUCCUGUCAUGAGGGAGCAAAGCGCCGCGUUAACUGCGUAGGCGUGUGAUAGUACCUCAAGAGGAAGAGACGGCUAACUCUGUGCCAGCAGCCGCGGUAAUACAGAGGUCUCAAGCGUUGUUCGGAUUCAUUGGGCGUAAAGGGUGCGUAGGCGGCCGGGUAAGUCAGAGGUGAAAUUCCAGAGCUCAACUUUGGGACUGCCUUUGAUACUGCUUGGCUAGAGUACUGGAGAGGAGACUGGAAUUCACGGUGUAGCAGUGAAAUGCGUAGAUAUCGUGAGGAAGACCAGUGGCGAAGGCGAGUCUCUGGACAGUAACUGACGCUGAGGCACGAAGGCUAGGGGAGCAAACGGGAUUAGAUACCCUAGUAGUC